rnacentral:rRNA from 1 species
CCAUGAAGCUGGAUUCGCUAGUAAUCGCGCAUCAGCCACGGCGCGGUGAAUACGUUCCCGGGCCUUGUACACACCGCCCGUCAAGCCAUGGAAGCCGGGGGGUGCCUGAAGUGCGCUGCCGCAAGGAGCGUCCUAGGGUAAAACCGGUGACUGGGGCUAAGUCGUAACAAGGUAAC